AUUUUGUAUGAAAGGAGAGGAGGUUAGCACUCCCCUUGAUAAGUAUGGAAGGGUCCCUAGUGGUCUUACGAUACUCAAAUGUUUAAAACUUCAUCAUCUAUAUAGUGGCAUCUAACUAUGUUUUUU